rnacentral:rRNA from 1 species
AACGGGGGGGACGAGUGUUACUCAACUUGACUGGGCGUAAAGGGCAACUAGACGGUUCGUUAAGUCCUGUGUGAAAUCCCCCGGCUCAACUGGGGAACUGCACAGGAAACUAGCGGGCUUGAGUUCGGGAGAGGGAAGCGGAAUUCCGGGUGUAGCGGUGAAAUGCGUAGAUAUCCGGAGGAACACCGGUGGCGAAGGCGGCUUCCUGGACCGACACUGACGCUGAGGCGCGAAAGCUAGGGGAGCAAACGGG